rnacentral:rRNA from 1 species
CCUACGGGAGGCUGCAGUGAGGAAUAUUGGUCAAUGGUCGGGAGCCUGAACCAGCCAAGCCGCGUGAGGGAUGAAGGUCCAGAGUAUCGUAAACCUCUUUUGUCAGGGAACAAAGGAGGGGACGCGUCCACGGCUGAGUGUACCUGCAGAACAAGCAUCGGCUAACUCCGUGCCAGCAGCCGCGGUAAUACGGAGGAUGCGUGCGUUAUCCGGAUUUAUUGGGUUUAAAGGGUGCGCAGGCGGUCAGUUAAGUCAGCGGUCAAAGCCCGGGGCCCAACCCCGGCCCGCCGUUGAAACUGGCAGUCUCGAGUGAGUGAGAAGUAUGCGGAAUGCGCGGUGUAGCGGUGAAAUGCAUAGAGAUCGCGCAGAACUCCGAUUGCGAAGGCAGCAUGCCGGCUCCAAACUGACGCUGAGGCACGAAAGCGUGGGUAUCGAACAGGAUUAGAUACCCGGGUAGUC